UUAGGCCCAGUUUAUGAACCUUCUAUUGAAACUGGGAUGCUAUGCAUUUGAGUUCAAGAUGUUACUGUGAUGUGAUUCAGAGAUAUCGUUGUAUAUUACUAUAUCUGUCAUACUCUAUAUAUUCCUUCAACAUAUCAGAGUGAAUGGCAUUUUGUUGCUAUAUCUCCGUCUUGCACCUUAAUUCUUGUAGACUGGAUAGAAGGUCAAAUGCAAGAAUUUCGCAACAAACUGGAUAGAAAACAAAUCACUAUUUCGCCAAGGAGUACCAGAAGCAUAUGACUGGCAUGGAGGAAGAUCUUCCUGCUCUGGGGCUGGAGCGCCUCAAAUAAAUGAUCAAGAAAUGCCAGGCUACGCCCUGUUCCCCGCAGGGCCUCGGCGACGAGAGAGACGUCGCCGUCCCAGGAGGUAGCCAGUGCUCCGGGGCUAGCCAUUGCUAUGGAAUGGGUUCCAGAAGAUUGACAAGAUCAAGGACUCUAACAGGCAGUCCAAGCAGCUGCAGGAGCUCACUGGGAAGAUGAGGGAGUGCAAGCGCUUAAUCGCAGACCUCGCAGA